GGGCCAGUAGCUCAGCUGGUAGAGCAGUUGACUCUUAAUCAAUUGGUCGAGGGUUCGACUCCUUCCUGGCCCACCA
rnacentral:tRNA from 1 species